GAUGAACGCUGGCGGCGUGCCUAAUACAUGCAAGUCGAGCGAACAGAUGAGGAGCUUGCUCCUCUGACGUUAGCGGCGGACGGGUGAGUAACACGUGGAUAACCUACCUAUAAGACUGGGAUAACUUCGGGAAACCGGAGCUAGUACCGGAUAAUAUAUUGAACCGCAUGGUUCAAUAGUGAAAGACGGUUUUGCUGUCACUUAUAGAUGGAUCCGCGCCGCACUAGCUAGUUGGUAAGGUAACGGCUUACCAAGGCAACGAUGCGUAGCCGACCUGAGAGGGUGAUCGGCCACACUGGAACUGAGACACGGUCCAGACUCCUACGGGAGGCAGCAGUAGGGAAUCUUCCGCAAUGGGCGAAAGCCUGACGGAGCAACGCCGCGUGAGUGAUGAAGGUCUUCGGAUCGUAAAACUCUGUUAUUAGGGAAGAACAAAUGUGUAAGUAACUAUGCACGUCUUGACGGUACCUAAUCAGAAAGCCACGGCUAACUACGUG
rnacentral:rRNA from 1 species